GAGGAAAAGAAACCAACAGGGAUUGCCCUAGUAACGGCGAGUGAAGCGGCAACAGCUCAAAUUUGAAAUCUGGCCCUCGGGUCCGAGUUGUAAUUUGUAGAGGAUGCUUUUGGUGCGGUGCCUUCCGAGUUCCCUGGAACGGGACGCCAUAGAGGGUGAGAGCCCCGUCUGGUUGGACGCCAAUCCUAUGUAAAGCUCCUUCGACGAGUCGAGUAGUUUGGGAAUGCUGCUCUAAAUGGGAGGUAUAUGUCUUCUAAAGCUAAAUAUUGGCCAGAGACCGAUAGCGCACAAGUAGAGUGAUCGAAAGAUGAAAAGCACUUUGAAAAGAGAGUUAAAAAGCACGUGAAAUUGUUGAAAGGGAAGCGCUUAUGACCAGACUUGGGCUUGGUUGAUCAUCCGGCGUUCUCGCCGGUGCACUCUUCCGGUCCAGGCCAGCAUCAGUUUGCUCCGGGGGAUAAAGGCUUUGGGAAUGUGGCUCCCUCGGGAGUGUUAUAGCCCAUUGUGUAAUACCCUGGAGCGGACUGAGGUACGCGUUCUGCAAGGAUGCUGGCGUAAUGGUCAUCAGUGACCCGU
rnacentral:rRNA from 1 species